CCGGAAUUUUCAGUUUACUCCUCCCACAAUAUUUGGGAAAAAAGAUUAAUUAUAGCGACUGAAAUGUUUCAUGUUUGAUCAGUAAUACCCAUUCAAAUGAAUUGGCUUCCUAACCACUCGAGUGCUAAAGGUGAAAGCUCCUUAGGGGGACCAGGGGGUAUGCCCCCCCCCCCUCCCGGAAACGUUUGAAAAUUAGAACCCUAGAAAUGCCAUUUCCUGCGAUAUGGGCAUUGAAUUAUGAGCUUCAGUUUGACUUCAAAAAAGGAAAAAGCUUGGAAAUUGUGCCAUAUUUCUGAAUUUGAUUUUAUUGCACCCCCUUGCCCCCUGUUGACCAAGGCCAACAGAGGUGUACACCCCCCUAUAAAUCCACCUCUGGUAAUACCCCCACCCCAAUCUUGAUCCAUCUGUCACUGGGCCUGGGCCCCAUGCAUCAGACGUUGCUUAUUCGUCGUCCUUUUCAAGACCCCAGCACGUCCCUGAUAACAUUAAUGUGAAAAAAUAAGCUUAGCAUAGCCAUUAAUGUUUUCAAAAUGUACUUUGUCUUAGUAAAACCAUUCAAAUUAUUGAAAACCAUUGAUAUGAAAAUAA